rnacentral:lncRNA from 1 species
UUUCAUUAGCCACAUUCACAAACCCUAAUUCUAUCCCCUUUUCUUUCAUCCGUCAAUUUUCUAUAACAAGUUGGCAUCUAUUCUUCCCAGCAGUUCAGGUAAAGCUUCUACAUGCAAUUCACUAUUGAACCCUAAAUUGAUGUUUCUCAUGUCCACUUAAACCAGUGUUCCUCUUCAUCGGGUGAAAAGCAUAAAGAUUCAGGUAGGACUAAUUAACCACUUGGAUGUAAAAAGGAAAGGGUAUAAAAAGAAACCCUCAACAAAUGAUUCUGGCUUGCCAAAUAAGAUUCAAUGCAAGAAGCUGGUUAAAGUCAUAAAGUGAUUUACUAAAUUAAUUUGGCCUUGUGUUAUAUAGUAUUUGUCGUGUGUGUGGUGUAUUUCAAACAACGUUGACUGUAAUUGUGCAAGCUUUAAAGAGGAGCUUGGAUCUGCAAAAUGAAGAGCAGAAUUAUUGAGGGAAUUCUUACUCAUAAUGGUUAAUCCGGAUCACUAGUCAGUGUUCUAUUAUCACAUUUUGGAUUUUUUAACACUAUUUGUUGUCAUUGGAUAUAAGAAUGUAUGGAAAACACUAGAGUGGCUAACUUAGGGCUAAGCUAAACCGAAGUCUAUUGGAGAAAUGGA